rnacentral:rRNA from 1 species
CCUGGUUGAUCCUGCCAGUAAUCAUAUACCUGUCUCAAAGAUUAAGUCAUGCAUGUGUAAGUAUGAACGAAUUCAGACUGUGAAACUGUGAAUGGCUCAUUAAAUCAGUUGUAGUUUGUUUGAUGGUAACUACUACUCGGAUAACCGUAGUAAUUCUAGAGCUAAUACAUGCAACAAACCCCGACUUCUGGAAGGGAUGCAUUUAUUAGAUAAAAGGUCGAUGCGGGCUCUGCCUGUUGCUCUGAUGAUUCAUGAUAACUCGACAGAUCGCAUUGCCUUAGUGCUGGCGACUCAUCAUUCAAAUUUCUGCCCUAUCAACUUUCGAUGGUAGGAUAGUGGCCUACCAUGGUGGUAACGGGUGACGGAGAAUUAGGGUUCGAUUCCGGAGAGGGAGCCUGAGAAACGGCUACCACAUCCAAGGAAGGCAGCAGGCGCACAAAUUACCCAAUCCUGACAUGGGGAGGUAGUGACAAUAAAUAACAAUACCGGGCUCUUUUAGUCUGGUAAUUGGAAUGAGUACAAUCUAAAUACCAUAACGAGGAUCCAUUGGAGGGCAAGUCUGGUGCCAGCAGCCGCGGUAAUUCCAGCUCCAAUAGCAUAUAUUUAAGUUGUUGCAGUUAAAAAGCUCGUAGUCGAACCUUGGGAUGGGUCGCCCGGUCCUCCUUCGGUGAGCACCGGUCGGCUUGUCUCUUCUGUCGGCGAUAUGCUCCUGGCCUUCUGGCCGGGUCGUGCCUCCGGCGCUGUUACUUUGAAAGAAAUUAGAGUGCUCAAAGCAAGCCUACGGUCUGUAUACAUUAGCAUGGGAUAACAUCAUAGGAUUUCGAUCCUAUUCUGUUGGUCGUCGGGAUCGGAGUAAUGAUUAACAGGGACAGUCGGUGUAAUAACCCUCACGAGCAGAGAGAAUUUUGGUCGAGAAAAUUCUUUAAGAUCAAUUUGAAAAUUGAUCGAUCAGAAUUUAAAUAAAAAUCGACACGGUGAAUUAAUCUCUCAACGGGGCUGUCUUUUGGUCGAAAAACCAUCUCUUGAUGGUUCUGGUCGAGUGUUAAUUAUUAUUGUCGAUUUUUAUUCAUGCUGGGAGAGUUUAUUCAGAGCAGGACGAGAUUCGAAUGAUGAAAAAUAUUUAGUCGAAACAGUCCAAAAAAUAUCGACAAAACUCUUAAAAUUAUUUCUGAACAGUCACAUGUCUUGCACCUUCUAGCCUACUUGCUUCCUCAGUAAUUAGGUCACAUGACAUGCACCUACUUACGUACCUGCUUGCUCAUUAGAAUUCACAUGCUGGUCACAAGCUGUUUGCUUCAGCUGCUUGUAUCUUUCUUCAUGGAAGGGAAAUGUUCAGCUGCUUGUGCUGCUUGGUGUGCUGAAGCAUGUCCCCAGCUGUCUAAACUCAGCUUUGUCUUUUGUGGGAGCACACACUCAUCUGAAGCAACUCCUUAUGAUAUAAUAUACCCUCUUCUCUCCUCUGGACGUCCUGUUACUGCAAGAAAAAGCAGAGAAAAAUUCAGAGAGAAAGAUAGAAAUAAGAGAGAAAAAUCUGUGAGAAAAAUUAGUUGAAAAAUUCAGAAAAAAAUUCAGAGAAGAGAAUUGAGAAAAGAUGAGCCUUUCACACCAUUCUGUGACUUUAUCCAGUGUGUUCUCGUGUGGUUAAGGGCUCAAGGUUUGGUGUCCAAGAGUUUAGAAUCACCCAAGUUCUUUAGCCUUGGAUUUUAUCGGUAAGAACAUAUGGGUUUGAUGAGAUCAGUUUUGCUUGAGCUUCAGUUCU